GUCGAACGGGAGACCUUCGGGUCUCUAGUGGCGAACGGGUGAGUAACACGUUAGGAACCUGCCCGCGCACCGGGAAUACGCUCUGGAAACGGAGAACAAAUCCCGAUGUACAGGAAGGAGGCAUCUUCUUUCUGUGAAACAUCCUUUAGGGGAUGGGGCGCGGAUGGACCUGCGGUGCAUUAGUUGGUUGGCGGGGUAAAGGCCCACCAAGACGAUGAUGCAUAGCCGGCCUGAGAGGGCGGACGGCCACAUUGGGACUGAGACACGGCCCAGACUCCUGCGGGAGGCAGCAGUAGGGAAUUUUCGUCAAUGGGCGCAAGCCUGAACGAGCGAUGCCGCGUGAGUGAAGAAGGCCUUCGGGUCGUAAAGCUCUGUUGCGGGGGAAAAAAGGCAGCAUCAGGAAAUGGGUGCUGACUGAUGGUGCCCCGCCAGAAAGUCAUGGCUAACUACGUGCCAGCAGCCGCGGUAAUACGUAGGUGGCGAGCGUUAUCCGGAAUGAUUGGGCGUAAAGGGUGCGCAGGCGGUCCUGCAAGUCUGGAGUGAAACGCAUGAGCUCAACUCAUGCAUGGCUUUGGAAACUGGAGGACUGGAGAGCAGGAGAGGGCGGUGGAACUCCAUGUGUAGCGGUAAAAUGCGUAGAUAUAUGGAAGAACACCAGUGGCGAAGGCGGCCGCCUGGCCUGUUGCUGACGCUGAGGCACGAAAGCGUGGGGAGCAAAUAGGAUUAGAUACCCUAGUAGUCCACGCCGUANACGAUGAGGACCAAGUGUUGGGG
rnacentral:rRNA from 1 species